rnacentral:tRNA from 1 species
GCGGAUGUGGCGAAAUUGGUAAACGCAUUAGAUUUAGAAUCUAAUUAAUUAUAAUAAGAGUUCAAUUCUCUUCUUCCGUA